rnacentral:lncRNA from 1 species
AAAAAAUUUUGAAACUCCAUUUUAAAAACUGUGGCACUAGCGUUGUUUCUAAAAACAGAAAUGUAAUAUAGGCAUGCCCGUCAGGAACAUAUUGUAUUCUAUGCAAAUCCCAUAUAUAUUCUGAUAAAGUUUCGAAGUUCUCAUUGUUCACAGAGCUCAUUGUUUUUCCCAAGAAAUACAAUCACAAUAAUUUUGAUGAAUUUAUUCUGUACAAGUUGUAGCUGAGUUGACUCGAGUCAUUUACGGCAAAAUCAGCAAGUCGAGCCCGAGUCGAGU